rnacentral:rRNA from 1 species
GAUGAACGCUGGCGGCGUGCCUAACACAUGCAAGUCGAACGGAGAUUUAACGCUGAUGAAGCUUCGGCAGAUUCUUGUUAAAUCUUAGUGGCGGACGGGUGAGUAACGCGUGGGCAACCUGCCUCAUCCUGGGGGAUAACAGCUGGAAACGACUGUUAAUACCGCAUAAGCGCACAGCAUCGCAUGAUGCAGUGUGAAAAACUCCGGUGGUAUGAGAUGGGCCCGCGUCAGAUUAGCCAGUUGGCAGGGUAACGGCCUACCAAAGCGACGAUCUGUAGCCGGCCUGAGAGGGCGGACGGCCACAUUGGGACUGAGACACGGCCCAAACUCCUACGGGAGGCAGCAGUGGGGGAUAUUGCACAAUGGAGGAAACUCUGAUGCAGCGCCGCCGCGUGAGUGAAGAAGUAUUUCGGUAUGUAAAGCUCUAUCAGCAGGGAAGAAAGACUCGUAAGAGAGAUGAC